rnacentral:lncRNA from 12 species
UGAAUCUUGCUGUUAAGAUUAGAGCUGAUUUCAGUGGGGUGUUGCUGCACUCUGUGCUCAGCUGUGCUCAGACAGGAGAUUUACCAGGAGAUGACCUGUAUUGUCAUCAGCAUGGCAUCAUUUCCAGUGGCUGUGCAGCAGAUUAGGGUCAGCAGCAGAGAACAGCAGAGCUCGACCAGCACAGCCCAGCAUGGCUUACCCAGGCAGAGAAAGGAGGUAAAUCCACAGCUACCCAAGUAUCAUCUCUUCAACCUACCUGGACCUACUUGGUCUCACUUUUUUGGCCUCCCUGGACCCCUCCAGUGUCAAGACUUUAGCCUCCUUGGAACUCUUUAAAAUCCCCUUUUCAGAUUCAUUGGAUUUAUCCAGUCUGAGCUCUUCAUCCUCUGUGGAAUUCUCCAGUCUCACUUCUUCAUCCUCUCUGGACCUUUCCAGUCUCACAUCUUCAUGCUCCUCAGACUUCUCCAGUACUGCCUCCUCAAUCUCCUUAGAGCUCUCCAGUCUCACCUCUUCAGAC